AAAUAGAUCCUGAAACCGUAUGCUUACAAAAAGUAGGAGCCUCGUAAGGGGUGACUGCGUACCUUUUGUAUAAUGGGUCAGCGACUUACAUUCAGUGGCAAGGUUAACCGAAUAGGGAAGCCGUAGAGAAAUCGAGUCCGAAUAGGGCGAAUUAGUCGCUGGGUGUAGACCCGAAACCAAGUGAUCUAUCCAUGGGCAGGAUGAAGGUGCCGUAACAGGUACUGGAGGUCCGAACCGACUAAUGUUGCAAAAUUAGCGGAUGACCUGUGGAUAGGGGUGAAAGGCUAAACAAACUUGGAAAUAGCUGGUUCUCUCCGAAAACUAUUUAGGUAGUGCCUCAAGUAUUACCUGCGGGGGUAGAGCACUGUUUUGGCUAGGGGGUCAUGGCGACUUACCAAACCAAUGCAAACUCCGAAUACCGCAGAGUACAGCUUGGGAGACAGAGCACCGGGUGCUAACGUCCGGACUCAAGAGGGAAACAACCCAGACCGCCAGCUAAGGUCCCUAAAAUUGGCUAAGUGGGAAACGAAGUGGGAAGGCUAAAACAGUCAGGAUGUUGGCUUAGAAGCAGCCAUCAUUUAAAGAAAGCGUAAUAGCUCACUGAUCGAGUCGUCCUGCGCGGAAGAUGUAACGGGGCUAAGCCAGUUACCGAAGCUGCGGAUUUGCAAUUUAUUGCAAGUGGUAGGAGAGCGUUCUGUAAGCCUGUGAAGGUGCGUUGUAAAGCGUGCUGGAGGUAUCAGAAGUGCGAAUGCUGACAUGAGUAGCGUUAAAGGGGGUGAAAAGCCCCCUCGCCGUAAGCGCAAGGUUUUCUACGCAACGUUCAUCGGCGUAGAGUGAGUCGGCCCCUAAGGCGAGGCAGAGAUGCGUAGUUGGUGGGAAACAGGUCAAUAUUCCUGUACCGAUGUGUAGUGCGAUGUGGGGACGGAGAAGGUUAGCUCAGCAGACUGUUGGAUAUGUCUGUUCAAGCCUGUAGUCGUGCCUGGUAGGUAAAUCCGCCGGGCUUAGAUGAGGGGUGAUAACGAGGAUGCUUGCAUCCGAAGUGAGUGAUACCCUGCUUCCAGGAAAAGCCACUAAGCUUCAGCUACACACGACCGUACCGCAAACCGACACUGGUGCGCGAGAUGAGUAUUCUAAGGCGCUUGAGAGAACUCAGGAGAAGGAACUCGGCAAAUUGACACCGUAACUUCGGAAGAAGGUGUGCCUUUAGUAUGUGAACCUGAACAAGGGGAGCAGAAUGAGGCCUCAGAGAAUCGGUGGCUGCGACUGUUUAAUAAAAACACAGCACUCUGCAAACACGAAAGUGACGUAUAGGGUGUGACGCCUGCCCGGUGCUGGAAGAUUAAAUGAUGGGGUGCAAGCUCUUGAUUGAAGUCCCAGUAAACGGCGGCCGUAACUAUAACGGUCCUAAGGUAGCGAAAUUCCUUGUCGGGUAAGUUCCGACCUGCACGAAUGGCGUAACGAUGGCCACACUGUCUCCUCCUGAGACUCAGCGAAGUUGAAAUGUUUGUGAUGAUGCAAUCUCCCCGCGGAAAGACGGAAAGACCCCAUGAACCUUUACUGUAGCUUUGUAUUGGACUUUGAACAGAUCUGUGUAGGAUAGGUGGGAGGCUUUGAAGCCGGAACGCUAGUUUCGGUGGAGCCAACGUUGAAAUACCACCCUGGUGUGUUUGAGGUUCUAACCUAGGUCCAUUAUCUGGAUCGGGGACAGUGCAUGGUAGGCAGUUUGACUGGGGCGGUCUCCUCCCAAAGCGUAACGGAGGAGUUCGAAGGUACGCUAGUUACGGUCGGACAUCGUGAUGAUAGUGCAAUGGCAUAAGCGUGCUUAACUGCGAGACUGACAAGUCGAGCAGAUACGAAAGUAGGACAUAGUGAUCCGGUGGUUCUGUAUGGAAGGGCCAUCGCUCAACGGAUAAAAGGUACUCUGGGGAUGACAGGCUGAUACCGCCCAAGAGUUCAUAUCGACGGCGGUGUUUGGCACCUCGAUGUCGGCUCAUCUCAUCCUGGGGCUGUAGCCGGUCCCAAGGGUAUGGCUGUUCGCCAUUUAAAGAGGUACGUGAGCUGGGUUUAAAACGUCGUGAGACAGUUUGGUCCCUAUCUUCCGUGGGCGCUG
rnacentral:rRNA from 1 species